rnacentral:rRNA from 1 species
UCAGUCGACUCCUACGGGGAGGCAGCAGUGGGGAAUAUUGCACAAUGGGGGAAACCCUGAUGCAGCCAUGCCGCGUGUGUGAAGAAGGCCUUCGGGUUGUAAAGCACUUUCAGUAGGGAGGAAGGUAGUGUAGUUAACACCUGCAUUAUUUGACGUUACCUACAGAAGAAGCACCGGCUAACUCCGUGCCAGCAGCCGCGGUAAUACGGAGGGUGCGAGCGUUAAUCGGAAUUACUGGGCGUAAAGCGCAUGCAGGCGGCCUGUUAAGUCAGAUGUGAAAGCCCGGGGCUUAACCUCGGAAUUGCAUUUGUAAACUGGCAGGCUAGAGUCUUGUAGAGGGGGGUAGGAAUUUCAGGUGUAGCGGUGAAAUGCGUAGAGAUCUGAAGGAAUACCAGUGGCGAAGGCGGCCCCCUGGACAAAGACUGACGCUCAGAUGCGAAAGCGUGGGGAGCAAACAGGAUUAGAUACCCUGGUAG